rnacentral:rRNA from 1 species
UGCAGUCGANCGGCAGCACGGGGGCAACCCUGGUGGCGAGUGGCGAACGGGUGAGUAACAUAUCGGAACGUGCCCUGGAGUGGGGGAUAACUAGUCGAAAGAUUAGCUAAUACCGCAUACGAUCUACGGAUGAAAGUGGGGGAUCGCAAGACCUCAUGCUCGUGGAGCGGCCGAUAUCUGAUUAGCUAGUUGGUGGGGUAAAGGCCUACCAAGGCAUCGAUCAGUAGCUGGUCUGAGAGGACGACCAGCCACACUGGGACUGAGACACGGCCCAGGCUCCUACGGGAGGCAGCAGUGGGGAAUUUUGGACAAUGGGCGCAAGCCUGAUCCAGCAAUGCCGCGUGAGUGAAGAAGGCCUUCGGGUUGUAAAGCUCUUUUGUCAGGGAAGAAACGGUUCGGGUUAAUACCUUGGGCUAAUGACGGUACCUGAAGAAUAAGCACCGGCUAACUACGUGCCAGCAGCCGCGGUAAUACGUAGGGUGCAAGCGUUAAUCGGAAUUACUGGGCGUAAAGCGUGCGCAGGCGGUUGUGCAAGACAGAUGUGAAAUCCCCGGGCUCAACCUGGGAAUUGCAUUUGUGACUGUACGGCUAGAGUGUGUCAGAGGGGGGUAGAAUUCCACGUGUAGCAGUGAAAUGCGUAGAGAUGUGGAGGAAUACCGAUGGCGAAGGCAGCCCCCUGGGAUAACACUGACGCUCAUGCACGAAAGCGUGGGGAGCAAACAGGAUUAGAUACCCUGGNUAGUCCACGCCCUAAACGAUGUCUACUAGUUGUCGGGUCUUUAUUGACUUGGUAACGCAGCUAACGCGUGAAGUAGACCGCCUGGGGAGUACGGUCGCAAGAUUAAAACUCAAAGGAAUUGACGGGGACCCGCACAAGCGGUGGAUGAUGUGGAUUAAUUCGAUGCAACGCGAAAACCUUACCUACCCUUGACA